AGAUCCUCUUGCUUUGUGGUCCCCCAGGACUUGGGAAGACAACACUUGCACAUGUCGCUGCUAAGCAUUGUGGAUACCGUGUGGUGGAGAUAAAUGCUAGUGAUGAUCGGUCAUCUUCAACAAUUGAAGCUAAAAUCCUUGAUGUGGUCCAGAUGAACUUUGUCAUGGCAGAUUCGAAGCCUAAUUGUUUGGUGAUUGAUGAAAUAGAUGGAGCUCUUGGUGAUGGC